rnacentral:rRNA from 1 species
UACGGGAGGCAGCAGUGGGGAAUAUUGCACAAUGGGCGCAAGCCUGAUGCAGCCAUGCCGCGUGUAUGAAGAAGGCCUUCGGGUUGUAAAGUACUUUCAGUCGUGAGGAAGGUGUUAAGGUUAAUAACCUUAGCAAUUGACGUUAGCGACAGAAGAAGCACCGGCUAACUCCGUGCCAGCAGCCGCGGUAAUACGGAGGGUGCGAGCGUUAAUCGGAAUUACUGGGCGUAAAGGGCACGCAGGCGGUUAAUUAAGUUGGAUGUGAAAUCCCCGGGCUUAACCUGGGAAUGGCAUUCAAGACUGGUUAGCUAGAGUCUUGUAGAGGGGGUAGAAUUCCAUGUGUAGCGGUGAAAUGCGUAGAGAUGUGGAGGAAUACCGGUGGCGAAGGCGGCCCCUGGACAAGACUGACGCUCAUGUGCGAAAGCGUGGGGAGCAAACAGGGAUUAGAUAC